ACUCCUACGGGAGGCAGCAGUGGGGAAUAUUGCACAAUGGGCGCAAGCCUGAUGCAGCCAUGCCGCGUGUGUGAAGAAGGCCUUCGGGUUGUAAAGCACUUUCAGUCGUGAGGAAGGUAGUGUAGUUAAUAGCUGCAUUAUUUGACGUUAGCGACAGAAGAAGCACCGGCUAACUCCGUGCCAGCAGCCGCGGUAAUACGGAGGGUGCGAGCGUUAAUCGGAAUUACUGGGCGUAAAGCGCAUGCAGGUGGUUUGUUAAGUCAGAUGUGAAAGCCCGGGGCUCAACCUCGGAAUAGCAUUUGAAACUGGCAGACUAGAGUACUGUAGAGGGGGGUAGAAUUUCAGGUGUAGCGGUGAAAUGCGUAGAGAU
rnacentral:rRNA from 1 species